UACGGAGGGUGCAAGCGUUACUCGGAAUCACUGGGCGUAAAGGACGCGUAGGCUGUUUAGCAAGUCAGAUGUGAAAUCCAACGGCUCGACCAUUGAACUGCAUUUGAAACUGCUAGACUAGAGUAUGGGAGGGGGAGAUGGAAUUAGUGGUGUAGGGGUAAAAUCCGUAGAUAUCACUAGGAAUACCUAAAGCGAAGGCGAUCUCCUGGAACAUUACUGACGCUAAGGCGUGAAAGCGUGGGGAGCAAACAGGAUUAGAUACCCUGGUAGUCCACGCCCUAAACGAUGAACACUAGUCGUCGCGAUGCUUGUCAUUGCGGUGAUGCACUUAACAGAUUAAGUGUUCCGCCUGGGGAGUACGGUCGCAAGAUUAAAACUCAAAGGAAUAGACGGGGACCCGCACAAGUGGUGGAGCAUGUGGUUUAAUUCGAAGAUACGCGAAAAACCUUACCUAGCCUUGACAUUGAUAGAAUACUGUAGAGAUACGGUAGUGCCCUUCGGGGAGCUUGAAAACAGGUGCUGCACGGCUGUCGUCAGCUCGUGUCGUGAGAUGUUGGGUUAAGUCCCGCAACGAGCGCAACCCUCGUCCUUAGUUGCCAGCAGUUCGGCUGGGCACUCUAGGGAGACUGCCUUCGCAAGGAGGAGGAAGGUGAGGACGACGUCAAGUCAUCAUGGCCCUUAUGGCUAGGGCUACACACGUGCUACAAUGGGGCGUACAGAGUGUUGCAAUACCGCGAGGUGGAGCCAAUCACUUAAAGCGUCUCUCAGUUCGGAUUGUUCUCUGCAACUCGAGAACAUGAAGCUGGAAUCACUAGUAAUCGUAGAUCAGCAUUGCUACGGUGAAUACGUUCCCGGGUCUUGUACUCACCGCCCGUCACACCAUGGGAGUUGAUUUCACCCGAAAUUGGGAAGCUAACCUUCGGGGGGCUACCACUUACGGUGGAAUUAGCGACUGGGGUG
rnacentral:rRNA from 1 species